rnacentral:rRNA from 1 species
UAGGGUUUGAUUCUGGCUCAGGAUGAACGCUGGCGGUAUGCUUAACACAUGCAAGUCGAACGAAAGUUUUUAACUUUAGUGGCGAACGGGUGCGUAAUACGUGAGAAUCUGCCCUUAGGAGAAGAAUAACUACUGGAAACGGUUGCUAAAUCUUCAUAUACCGAGAGGUGAAAUAGCUUCGGCUGCCAAAGGAUGAGCUCGCGCCUGAUUAGCUAGUUGGUAAGGUAAUGGCUUACCAAGGCCACGAUCAGUAGCUGGUUUGAGAGAACGAUCAGCCACACUGGGACUGAGACACGGCCCAGACUCCUCCGGGAGGCAGCAGUGAGGAAUUUUCCGCAAUGGGCGAAAGCCUGACGGAGCAAUACCGCGUGAGGGAUGAAGGAUUUUGGUCUGUAAACCUCUUUUCUCAAGAAAGAAGUUCUGACGGUACUUGAGGAAUAAGCAUCGGCUAACUCCGUGCCAGCCGCCGCGGUAAUUCA